rnacentral:lncRNA from 1 species
AUUAAUCCUUUUAUGUCAAAUUCCCUAAUAGAAGUAUAAGGAAAGAAUCUAUAAUUUCAAUGUAAAGUAAUAUAUUCUACUAAUAGUAUAAAGAGCGGGUAUAACUAUCCCCAAUUGAUAGUCGUGCCAAAACCAGGAAUUCAAGGAAAGAUAAGACUGUGCCAUGAACCUCAAAGUGAGGGAGUUUUAUUUGUAAAUACUUAACAAACUCUUGCUUACAUAUAUUUAUUUAUUUUAAGGCUUUGUACUUCUUACUGUUGACUAACUAUUUCUUCCUUGCUUGUUGAUUUCUGACUUUUGCAUAUUAUGCAUAGAUGUAUUUGCAUUUAUACCCCAUGCAUAGUUUUCUAAAUGUUUAUGGUUUCAGUCACUAUUGCUUGGGUUAGAAAAGAACAAAGACUCAUACGCGAUCAAAUAGAAAUUGUAGGAAUUAGCUCUGCUGAUUUUUAAGCCCUUCAAGCUGAUAGGAUUAUUAUGAAAAAGCAUAUGAAAAACCUAAUGGAAAUGACCUAGCAAUAAUUAAACCUUCUAAAGCCACUCCUAUUGGGAGUAGCUCAAGAGAAUACAACCAGAAGUGGUAUUGCUCCAACUAAUACUACUAGUGCCACUAUUCAUCAAUAGUUUCCCAUCACCUUGGAUUUCACUACUCCUACUGUGGACAAGGACAAAGGAAAUAGCGGUAAUCCUUUUGAAUUCGUCAAUGGUGAUGAUGAAGUGCGAGUUCUUCCAAAUUCUUGGCCAAAACCUACCAGCUCAUCUCCUAUGCCUUCAACGGAAAAUCCUCAACUCAAGAAAAUCAAGAAGCAGAUGGAAAACAUGUGAUGCUCAAGAUAAAAGGAUAGAAAGCCAUUGAGGACAUUGAUGAGUCCAUCCUCCACUAUAUGAAGGGAAAAGUGAACCUCCCUGAUUUAAUGGUUCAUGCGAUCCUCAUGCCUUCUUGAACUCAUAUUGCACCAAUAUGUCCACUUACUCCAAUCUGACUAGGCAGUAGAGUGUCCAAUACUUCUGUCUCUUCCUGAUUGGAGCUGCUGCCCGCUAGUAUUGGCAGCUGGAUGAGAAAAUACGAGAAGACUGGAAGGAUAUAUGUAGGCCAAUAUUGGUACAAUACCGAGGUGGAAGUGGGCACCCAAGACUUGCAGCCACAAGGUAGCUCUCCAAUAAGAC